rnacentral:rRNA from 1 species
UACGUAGGGUGCAAGCGUUGUUCGGAAUCAUUGGGCGUAAAGCGCGUGUAGGCGGUCAAGUAAGUCUUGUGUGAAAUCCCUGGGCUCAACCGAGGAAGUGCAUGGGAAACUACUUGGCUUGCAGACGGUAGAGGAAGGUGGAAUUCCAAGUGUAGAGGUGAAAUUCGUAGAUAUUUGGAGGAAUACCGGUGGCGAAGGCGGCCUUCUGGACCGAUCUGGACGCUGAGACGCGAAAGCGUGGGGAGCAAAC